rnacentral:rRNA from 1 species
GAUGAACGCUAGCGGCAGGCCUAAUACAUGCAAGUCGAGGGAGAAUGUUGGAUUCGUCUGACAUGAAACCGGCGCACGGGUGCGUAACGCGUAUGCAACCUACCUUUAACUGGGGUAUAGCUCAGAGAAAUCUGAAUUAAUCCCCCAUAAGACUACGACAUGGCAUCAUGAUGUAGUUAAAGCUCCGGCGGUUAAGGAUGGGCAUGCGGUACAUUAGCUAGUUGGUGAGGUAAUGGCUCACCAAGGCUACGAUGUAUAGGGGGUCUGAGAGGAUGAUCCCCCACACUGGGACUGGGACACGGACCAGACUACUACGGGAGGCAGCAGUAGGGAAUAUUGGUCAAUGGACGCAAGUCUGAACCAGCCAUGCCGCGUGAAGGAUGAAGGCCCUAUGGGUCGUAAACUUCUUUUAUUAGGGAAGAAAAAACGGGAUGCGUCCUGUACUGACGGUACUUAAUGAAUAAGGAUCGGCUAACUUCGUGCCAGCAGCCGCCGUAA